GGGAUUAUGAUCUUUUUUAAAAGACAGAGGAAACAGCAUGAAACACAGGGGGAGUUCAAGUGAAAGUCUGGAGAAAGAAGUGGGACAAAAUAGGAGUGGGGAGAAGGCACUAGCCAAGACAUCUGGAUCUGGUACUGGCUCCCUUUUCCUUUCUAUUCCAUAAUCACCUACAGAGUGUGAAAUGAAAUACAGAACCUCACUGCUAACAUUGUGCCUUAUUGUAUUCUCUGUUACAGAGCAAGAGCUUCCAACCCCAUUGAUGAAACAACUUAUUGGGAAAGUGUGGGCCCCCAUAGCAUCCCUGGAGCUUCUUUUCUGCCAGAUAGCUUCAAAAUGAACAGAACAUUAGAAAAAACCCACUAUGUUACAUAUAGUACGUUUAAUUGACAUGGACUGAAUCACAGCGGGAGUAUCAAAACAUGGAAAAGGACAAGAAAUGGAGCUGAACGGCACUUGAGUAUGCUUUGUACUGCUGCAUCAUGAACACAAACUCACCUGCUACUCUUUGCAGAGGAUCUAGACUUCAUUCCACAGACCAAAGAACAACAGCAGGAUCAUUCAGAGCUGCAGCAAAAAGAGCUGUCACCUGCAGGACCUCAGCUUCAUUAGUUAAUUGUUUGAUCACAUACAAGUUGCUCCAAUAAAAAUUUUAGAGAACAGGUUACUACUGCAAGUUCCUCAGUUUCUAUGUACACACCACAAAGGAAGAAGACAAAUUUGGUGAAGUAACAACAAAUGCACCACUGAAAAGCGCAGGUGGUGCUUAUUAGGGGGAAUAAAACAUCAGGACAGUCAUCUUAACUUGAGAAUCCAGGAUAAAGGGACCAUUCCAACAACUCAGCAAUUUACUUCUGUGCCCCAUCUCCCCUACUAGUGGAUAAGGAACAACAUUUCUCUUUGAAUAGUCAUGACACUUUAGAAAUACAAACUCAAACAUGCAGAAGAAUUUUACAAAGAGAACUCAGUUUAGGUCCAGACAAAAAAAGCAUAAGUGGAAUUAGUACAUAUAAGAACAUUCACUUAAGCCCAAAGAUUAGAAAAUACAUUGACUAGAGACCUGGCUGGCAAAACAACUGGUAAGUGUCUCACCAAAAAACCCAUCAUGUGAUCAGGUAACUAGAAAUGCACUAUGAUAGGAUAAUCAUUGAAUAUGGUACCUUCCAACUUCUGCUAAAGAAGCAGCAUUACAAACAAAAUAUUCAGCAGGUUUUUUUCCUGCAGUAAAUAGAACCAACUAGUACCUCUGACUUUAAAGAAAGUGAAUUUGCAUAACGGAACAGGAACCUGCCACAGAUGUUCUCUACUGUAUCUUCAUAGCAUCAACAAUACUGCAAACUACAUUCCUAACUACGUGGAGUUACCUAAUAACCUAGUGAAAUGGCUAAUUAGAACAUAAUAUUUUUUUACUUGCUCUGAAACAAUGCUAAUAUUCAAAGAUGUCACACUAAAAACAAAAAAAAAGAUGGCUUAAGAAGUUGCAUUUAGUCCACACAUCUGAUUCCUCUCCAAGCAUUUUCAAAACAAGUGCAGGUGGUGUUGCAUAGAUUCAGAGAUUCAGAAUAAAGAACAAGUUGGGUCUUUUUGGAGUGCAAUUCCAGCUAACAGACAGGCUCCCCAUCCAAUACCGGACAAGUCACCACUUGACCUACUAACAUCCCUCAGAGAUAGUGCACAUUCUACUUCAAGAGGCCAAGUGCUGUUCAGCUUGAUGGAUGCUUAUGCACAUGGGUGUAUGUGACCAUACCACGAUUCUCCUUGUCAUCAGGUACAGAAUGGUUCUUCAUCCUUUUCUGGAUAACACUGGGAUAUUUUUACUGGGGCUGUUUCAAGGUCAAGGAGCUUUUCACUAUGAUCCAAGAGCCAAUUCCAGAAAGACGAGUGACAAAACAAAACACCCCAACCCAUUUCAAGGCGUUCGUUCCUAUCAACACCACAACAAGCAUUCUGGUUUAUCCCACACUGGCAUGCCACUCUUCUUGUGAAAGGCCAUGUCCACACCACAACAUUUUAUUACGACACAUGAAGGGUGCAGAAAUCUGACAGGAGCAGCCCACAGUUCAACACCUUUUUGCUCCAGCACAGUAUUUAACACCACCUCAACACAGUCAGUUUUUCCUUUCCUCUGUGACCCUCAAGCAAUGAGCAACGAUAUCCAAAUAGCCUAGGUCACAGCCCUCUAGAGAAACAGAGACAGCCCACAUUACUUUCUUCAUAAUAUUCACAAUGAACAUAAGGCCAGGGAAUCGGCCACUGACUUGAGUCUACAUAGAGAUGAAAAACAUCAGAGAUGAAAAGUAAAGCAAACAAAAAAGAACCAGCCAGUUUAGAUAACUAAGGACACACAAAAAGAGAUACAGGUGGAUUUAAACCCUUUUUGCAAUAUUAUUUAUUUACCCCUACAACUGUGAAAAUUUCUCAUUUUGACUUUUGAUGUUUAUUUCCUCAUAAAAUUUUCAGUGCUACAAGCCUUGUUAUAAGUUAGAAGAAUUGACUAUUAAAUGCAUGUGAUGGGUUUGUCCUCUGUGUUGAAGCUGACUGACGUAAUUAUUCAGCUACUGUUGUAUCACGAACUUCUCGCUCUGUGGAUGUUAUUCUGGAAUAAAAUUGACUAUUGUAAAAUACUUAUGGCAAUUCUACUUUUCUAAAAAAGUAAAGCCACUAAUCACACACUUUGCCUGGAACCUGCUUCAUACAUAAUCUUAAAAUGUAAAUGUUUACCCAUAAAAUACUAAGCAAAAUAAAAUUUA